GAUGAACGCUGGCGGCGUGCCUAAUACAUGCAAGUCGAGCGAACAGACGAGGAGCUUGCUUCUCUGACGUUAGCGGCGGACGGGUGAGUAACACGUGGAUAACCUACCUAUAAGACUGGGAUAACUUCGCGAAACCGGAGCUAAUACAGGAUAACAUGUUGAACCGCAUGGUUCAACAGUGCAAGACGGUCUUGCUGUCACUUAUAGAUGGAUCCGCGUCGCAUUAGCUAGUUGGUAAGGUAACGGCUUACCAAGGCGACGAUGCGUAGCCGACCUGAGAGGGUGAUCGGCCACACUGGAACUGAGACACGGUCCAGACUCCUACGGGAGGCAGCAGUGGGGAAUCUUCCACAAUGGGCGAAAGCCUGACGGAGCAACGCCGCGUGAGUGAAGAAGGUCUUCGGAUCGUAAAACUCUGUUAUUAGGGAGGAACAAAUGUGUAAGUAACUAUGCACGUCUUGACGGUACCUAAUCAGAAAGCCACGGCUAACUACGUG
rnacentral:rRNA from 1 species